CAGCCGCCGCGGGAAUACCGAGGGUGCAAGCGUUAAUCGGAAUUACUGGGCGUAAAGCGCGCGUAGGUGGUUUGUUAAGUUGGAUGUGAAAUCCCCGGGCUCAACCUGGGAACUGCAUCCAAAACUGGCAAGCUAGAGUAUGGUAGAGGGUGGUGGAAUUUCCUGUGUAGCGGUGAAAUGCGUAGAUAUAGGAAGGAACACCAGUGGCGAAGGCGACCACCUGGACUGAUACUGACACUGAGGUGCGAAAGCGUGGGGAGCAAACAGGAUUAGAUACCCGGGUAGUCCCUGUCUCUUAUAC
rnacentral:rRNA from 1 species